rnacentral:rRNA from 1 species
GGAAAAGAAACUAACAAGGAUUCCCUUAGUAACUGCGAGUGAAGCGGGAAAAGCUCAAAUUUAAAAUCUGGCAGUCUUCUGGCUGUCCGAGUUGUAGUCUGGAGAAGUGCUUUCCGCGCUGGAACCGUGUACAAGUCUCUUGGAAUAGAGCGUCAUAGAGGGUGAGAAUCCCGUCUUUGACACGGACUUUACCAGUGCUUUGUGAUGCGCUCUCAAAGAGUCGAGUUGUUUGGGAAUGCAGCUCAAAAUGGGUGGUAAAUUCCAUCUAAAGCUAAAUAUUGGCGAGAGACCGAUAGCGAACAAGUACCGUGAGGGAAAGAUGAAAAGCACUUUGGAAAGAGAGUUAAACAGUACGUGAAAUUGCUGAAAGGGAAACGCUUGAAGUCAGUCAUGUCGGUCAGGACUCAGCCUUGCUUAUUUUUGCUUGGUGCAUUUUCUGGUUGACAGGCCAGCAUCGAUUUUGAUUGCUGGAAAAAGGCUGGGGGAAYGUGGCACCUUUUGGGUGUGUUUAUAGCCCUCAGUCACAUACAGUGGUUAGGAUCGAGGACCGCAGCACGCCUUUAUGGCCGGGGUACGCCCACGUUCGUGCUUAGGAUGCUGGCAUAAUGGCUUUAAACGACCCGUCUUGAAACACGGACCAAGGAGUCUAACAUGCGUGCGAGUGUUUGGGUGGAAAACUCGAGUGCGGAAUGAAAGUGAAAGUUGAGAUCCCUGUCAUGGGGAGCAUCGACGCCCGGACUCAAGCUUUUGGCGAGGGCUCCGCGGUAGAGCAUGUAUGUUGGGACCCGAAAGAUGGUGAACUAUGCCUGAAUAGGGUGAAGCCAGAGGAAACUCUGGUGGAGGCUCGUAGCGAUUCUGACGUGCAAAUCGAUCGUCAAAUUUGGGUAUAGGGGCGAAAGACUAAUCGAACC